GAUGAACGCUAGCGGCAGGCUUAAUACAUGCAAGUCGAACGGUAACAGGUCCAGCAAUGGAUGCUGACGAGUGGCAGACGGGUGCGUAACACGUAUGCAACCUACCUUUAACUGAGGAAUAGCCCCGAGAAAUCGAGAUUAAUACCUCAUAAUAUUAUAGAAAGGCAUCUUUUUAUAAUUAAAACUUCGGUGGUUAAAGAUGGGCAUGCGCGACAUUAGCUAGUUGGCGAGGUAGUAGCUCACCAAGGCAAAGAUGUCUAGGGGGUCUGAGAGGAUAAUCCCCCACACUGGUACUGGGACACGGACCAGACUCCUACGGGAGGCAGCAGUAGGGAAUAUUGGGCAAUGGACGCAAGUCUGACCCAGCCAUGCCGCGUGCAGGAUGAAGGCCUUAUGGGUCGUAAACUGCUUUUAUACAGGAAAAAAAUUUAUCACGUGUGAUAAGCUGAUGGUACCGUAAGAAUAAGCACCGGCUAACUACGUGCCAGCAGCCGCCGCAGUAA
rnacentral:rRNA from 1 species